rnacentral:lncRNA from 1 species
GGCCAUUGGCCUCCUUGAAUCCUCUGGAGUCUCUGAAGAUCUGCAAAAGCCUUCUUGUCUUCCACCCCAUGGUGACAGGCAUGGGGGGAGGCAAGAGUGGCCAGGAAUUGUCCUCUCCCCUGCACUGCUGGUGUGGGGGAAACGUAGGCGGGACCUGAAGCGAUGCAGCCCCCCUGGGCAUUCUCACCUGGUGGCUGGCUCUUUCCUCUCUGGGACUGUUCUAGAAUCCCUGGAAAAGUCUGGGAGCAGAGGCUCCUCGCAGACUCAGCCCUCUGAGCCUCAGGAUGGGCCUCGGUCAAAUGGGGACCGCUCACACCUGGCCUCCAUUGUAUCCAAAUGUGAUUACACAUCUGGGCAGNCCCCCCCCCCCCCCCCGUCCCCGCCCUGCCUCAAGAAGGAGCGCAAGGCGAGCGAGACUCCUGGAGCCAAGACGACCUUCACCCUUGGGUUUUGUCCGCGUGGAGAAGACAGGUGCCACAGUCCUGCUAGGGUGGAGGGAAUGCUGGCCCCCGGUCUCUCUGGAGCGAGGGGACUCCACGGAUCGGGGACAGGAGACACGCGUCUCCAGCCCCGGGGCCCGGCUGUGCGCGCAGGAGGGAGGACCCAGAGCGGGCUCUGCCUGGGCUUGCCUGGGCUUGUUCAAAGCCAGGCUGCUUGCCUCGGUGACUGCGCGGAUCCGGGGAGAUUUCGAGAUUUUGCGGGAGCCUUGGAACCAAGCCCCGGGGAGGAGGCGGCUGGAAGCCCGCGCGACCUGCUCGCCCCGUCCAAGGGUGAGCCCAGUGGCUCUCCGAGGAGGCUCAGUGUAAUUGGCUGCCUUCUGAAGCAGGCGGUUGAACUUGAGCAGUGGUUGGGAUGCCUGGACCCGCUCCCCAGGCACCACCUGUGGCCUCACACUCAGCCAGUGCUGAGAGCUCCAUGCUCACUGUCGACUUGGCUGGACAAGAAGCUAGUUCCAGCCUCCAAGGACUCCAGUUGCCACCAGCCCCACUAGCCUCACCAGCUGUACCCAUCAGCCCCUGGUUAACACAUCAAACCAGAACCUCCUCGCACAAACUGGACAGUACCCCAGGGCUGCUCUCCCUGCUUCACCUGGGCUGGGACCUGGCAGAGCUCUGAGUCUUCCGGAUUCCAGCGUCCGAGGUAGCCAGUCUGCCGACUGCUGGCGUAAAGCUGCUUUCCCAAAAUAGCCACCCAGAGGGAAAAAAGCAGCCCUGGAAUUUGACCCUGACCAUCACCGAUCACUGGGAAGGCUUUUGUUCAGGCUCCUGGUCCACCUGGCCCCACCUCUGACUGUUACCGAGGCCCUGCCGGUGGGUAUGGGGGCUGGUGUUUUCUCUCUCCCCUCUCUCUUUCCCCUUCCCUUUUGCUCUUUUUUUCCAUCAGCUUUAGAUUGAGAAUUGAAAUGACGCAGGAGAGAUGUCGCAGUGCCUGAUUGGCUGGAGGGGGUGGGAGCAGGUCACAGGUGGGAAGCAGGCAGGGGAGGGGACCUGGGUGCGAGCACCUCUCUGCAGGUGAAUGCACACCUGUGGCGGUCCGGGCGCUGGCAGUGAGCCCUGGCCUGGCGGCGGCGGCAAUGACAAGCCUGGCGGGUCAGACAGGUGGAGCCAGCCCUGCGGUCAGAUACCCGGUCCCCCGUCAGCCCACAAGCCAGGUAACCCCCCUUUUCAUCUUUUCUGCUGGUUUUAGGCACUACUUACAACAUGAACAAGAGGGAGUUUCCCCAGGGGGGAAUUGUGAGUUUGAGGAGGAUAUGCUGUGUUUGUGUGCGGGAAACUUGGCUUCGGAGUUAGAAAAACAAGUCUAAUUGUAUUGGCCCUUGGCGCUGAAAAGCAAAUUUCUUAGGGAGCCUCGAAGCUGAAUGGCAAGUCAGGCAGGCAAGGUACAGAAAGGAUGAGAUUUUGUUUGGUUCCUGCAGAUGGAAAGCCUGUGGAAGACUCUCUCCUGGUGAGUGGGGCUGUUCCCUUUUCCAUAAGGAGCGUUUGGGCUGGGGGCUGCCUCACCUUCAGUCCCUACUCGGAAGCACGGGGAGUGCUGGGCUUCUAACUCCAAUUGGUGUUCCAGCCCUGGGGCUGGGUCUUAUUUGGAAGUUGUUUGAAGUUUCACAUCAGUGAAGGAGGCUUGACUUGUGAAAGCCAGUCUCCAGUGUCAUCAGGGGCAUUUUAUGUAGCCAGGGAAUUGUCCCCUGAGUCUUUGGGGGAACUUCCGGCCCGAGGGCAAGAAGGGAGGAGCACAGUCUAAGGACAAAACUCAGGACUCCCCACUCGAAACAGGGGCUGGUUUUGACCUCUCUGACAUCCUUGAAACACAUAUACUGCCUUCCCUCAGCCUCCUGUGCCCUUGCCUGUCUGCCAGCAUCAUGGACCCUCACCCAGAUGCAUACCUGGCAGAGAGGCCCCUGGGGAGGGCAGAGCAGAGCAGCUGCCAUGGUCAUGAUCUUCUCAAGCUGCCCUGCGCUUUGCAGGGAGAGGACAGGGAAGCUGUUUCUGAACCUUUUGUGACAGAGACGUUUUUCGGUUGUGGUUUUCUUUUUUAUUUUAUUUUUUUAAUUCCAAGGUAAUUUGUGGUGCCCCAAUUGCUUAGAUUAUGAGAAGUAUCAAUUAGGAUUCCUUCCUCUGCAAGUGGGAGAAAACUCUACUCAAGAUGAUUUAAAUUCUCAGAACAUUAAAAUUUUGAUAAAACCUAAGUGCAGACCUUGGGCAGCUUCAUGACGGGUUACAUCCAGGGCUCACGAGGUCAAGGCAUUAGGCUCGCUCCGUAGGUCUGCUCUCUGGCCAGCUUCCCUCCCCACCGGCUCUACUUGGGGUCUCAUUUAAAAUGAGGAAAACUUUCCUGAGCCCCCGCCUCCCCGACUUUCCCACGCAUCUCACUGGCCAGAAUUAGGCCUCGUCUUCAGCCCCAGCCAAUCAGAGACAAGGGGAGGAGUUACUGUGUUGGAAUUGGUGAGGCCCAUCCUGACCAGGAAGAGGAGAGUGAAUUACCAAACCAAAUGUGGGCCUGUGAACAGGAGGACAAGAGGGUGUGGGUUUGGGGCAGUAUCUGUUGCAUUGGACAGUUAUUCAGAUUUCUAACUGAUUUGGGGACAAGACAACAACUCUUACUCCUGAAAUACAUAUAUUUCUUUAUAUGCAAUUCUUAAUGCCAGGACAGGUUUUUUUUAUUUAUUUUCACAUGCCCAUGCCAUGUGAAAUUUCCUGGGCCAGGGACUGAACCCAAGCCACUGCAGUGACAAUGCUAGAUCCUUAACUGUAGGCCCCCAGGGAACUCCCAAGAGCUGUUUUUAACAGUCCUGGUGUCCACUCUUAGCCUUUCACCUCCCAAGAGGCCCACUUCCUUAAGCAUCUGCCUGGUGGUUUUUAAGUGUUAGAGCCUUUCCCCUUCUUGGUGAACCUGCUGCCUCCCAGAGUUGGCUGCUCAAGGCUUCAUCCCCAAGAACCUAAUAGAAGUAAGAGUUGUAAAUAUUAAGGACACAUUUCCAGUUAUGCAAAGAGCAGAAGAGGCACCAGGGUUCUGGCUGAGAGCGUCCCAGAGCCAGCAGUGCAUCUGCCACUCACCCAGAACCCUGUGGGAUCUGCAGGGGACCGGCCUGCCCCAGCGUCAGCUCCCAGAGACUUGAUGGAGUUUUCCCUUUUCUCCAGGCCAGGCACAGGGAACUCCUGAAACUUGGGGAAAACGGGAGUGCUGGCUGCCCACCUGGGAAAGCUGGUUCCAAUGGACAUGAACCUGACUUUAAUUUUUGAGACUGAAAACAUCCAAGUCAGUCUUUUUUUGCCCCAUCUCUGAGACCUCACUCGUAACCUUGGCCAAAGUCACCUGUAGAUCUGGCCAA